rnacentral:rRNA from 1 species
UACAGAGGUGGCAAGCGUUGCUCGGAAUUACUGGGCGUAAAGGGCGCGUAGGCGGCCAUCUAAGUCAGACGUGAAAUCCCCCGGCUUAACCUGGGAACUGCGUCUGAUACUGGAAGGCUUGAGUAUGGGAGAGGGAUGUAGAAUUCCAGGUGUAGCGGUGAAAUGCGUAGAUAUCGGAAGGAACAUCAGUGGCGAAAGCGACUUCCUGGACCAAUACUGACGCUCAUGUGCGAAAGCGUGGGGAGCAAACAGG